GAUGAACGCUGACAGAAUGCUUAACACAUGCAAGUCGAUGGGGAAGUGGUGCUUGCACCAUGGCAACCAUGGCGGACGGGUGAGUAACGCGUAAGGGACUUACCUGCAGGACUGGGAUAACAGGGGGAAACUCCUGACAAGACCGGAUAAUGUCAUGGAGCUGCAUGGCUUUAUGAUGAAAGGAGACGCCUGCGGAGAGCCUUGCGUCCUAUUAGCUAGUUGGUGAGGUAAUGGCUCACCAAGGCGAAGAUAGGUAGCCGGCCUGAGAGGGUGGACGGCCACAAGGGGACUGAGAUACGGCCCUUACUCCUACGGGAGGCAGCAGUGGGGAAUAUUGGACAAGGGGGGCAACCCUGAUCCAGCAAUUCUGUGUGCACGAAGAAGGUUUUCGGAUUGUAAAGUGCUUUCAGCAGGGAAGAAGUAAGUGACGGUACCUGCAGAAGAAGCGACGGCUAAAUACGUG
rnacentral:rRNA from 1 species